rnacentral:rRNA from 1 species
UACGGAGGGUGCGAGCGUUGUCCGGAAUCAUUGGGCGUAAAGGGCUCGUAGGCGGUCUGUCGCGUCGGGAGUGAAAACUCGGGGCUUAACCCCGAGCCUGCUUCCGAUACGGGCAGACUAGAGGUAUGCAGGGGAGAAUGGAAUUCCUGGUGUAGCGGUGAAAUGCGCAGAUAUCAGGAGGAACACCGGUGGCGAAGGCGGGUCUCUGGGCCGUUACUGACGCUGAGGAGCGAAAGCGUGGGGAGCAAACAGG